UGGGGAAUAUUGCACAAUGGAGGGAACUCUGAUGCAGCGACGCCGCGUGAACGAAGAAGGCUUUCGAGUCGUAAAGUUCUUCUAUAUGGGAAGAUAAUGACGGUACCAUAAGAAAAAGCCCCGGCUAACUACGUGCCAGCAGCCGCGGUAAUACGUAGGGGGCUAGCGUUGUCCGGAAUCACUGGGCGUAAAGGGUUCGCAGGCGGAAAUGCAAGUCAGGUGUAAAAGGCAGUAGCUUAACUACUGUAAGCAUUUGAAACUGCAUAUCUUGAGAAGAGUAGAGGUAAGUGGAAAUUUUAGUGUAGCGGUGAAAUGCGUGGAUAUUAAAAAGAAUACCGGUGGCGAAGGCGACUUACUGGGCUCAUUCUGACGCUGAGGAACGAAAGCGUGGGUAGCAAACAGG
rnacentral:rRNA from 1 species